AACGAACGCUGGCGGCAUGCCUAACACAUGCAAGUCGAACGAAGCCUUCGGGCUUAGUGGCGCACGGGUGCGUAACGCGUGGGAAUCUGCCCCUUGCUUCGGAAUAACAGUUAGAAAUGACUGCUAAUACCAGAUGAAGUCUUCGGACCAAAGAUUUAUCGGCAAGGGAUGAGCCCGCGUAGGAUUAGGUAGUUGGUGGGGUAAAGGCCUACCAAGCCGACGAUCCUUAGCUGGUCUGAGAGGAUGAUCAGCCACACUGGGACUGAGACACGGCCCAGACUCCUACGGGAGGCAGCAGUGGGGAAUAUUGGACAAUGGACGCAAGUCUGAUCCAGCAAUGCCGCGUGAGUGAUGAAGGCCUUAGGGUUGUAAAGCUCUUUUACCAGGGAUGAUAAUGACAGUACCUGGAGAAUAAGCUCCGGCUAACUCCGUG
rnacentral:rRNA from 1 species